rnacentral:rRNA from 1 species
UAGGGAAUCUUCGGCAAUGGACGAAAGUCUGACCGAGCAACGCCGCGUGAGUGAAGAAGGUUUUCGGAUCGUAAAACUCUGUUGUUAGAGAAGAACAAGGGUGAGAGUGGAAAGCUCAUCAAGUGACGGUAACUACCCAGAAAGGGACGGCUAACUACGUGCCAG